UUUUUUUUUUUAUCAAUUUAUCAUUUCCGAUGCAGGCUCAUAUUUUUCCCCAUGAGAUAGAUAUAUUCUCCGUUUUCUGCUGGUUAUAUUUCUAUGGGCAUGAAAAGGGGAAGCAGUUUCCCCUGACGUAACGGAUGACGUGCUUCUUAAUUAUUUUAUAUUUUGUAGUUAUUAUUAUUAUUAUUAUUGUUAUUAUUGUUGUUGUUAUUCAUUUAAACUCUUAGUCAGCGGCCAUUCCCCAUUUGAGUGCGUUUUCAUUGACGACCCACUCAGACACUAAUUCGUGUGAUAAUGGCUUUCAGCUGUGCUAUAUCGUCACCUUUUACCAUGGUCUGUAGGGUCGACCGUUUGUCGACCGGACUGCUGAUGAUGAUUUUCAUGCAAGCAGACUACCAUAAAUUGAUUCUCGCCAUCAUGGCAUUUCGUUAGAUAAUAUAUCGCUGCAAAUUUAUAAUCAUUUUAUUUUUAACGAACGGGGUUUCUUGUCUUAGCAUAUCUACCUAUUUCUACGUUCGCAAUUUGUUCAAAGAUUCAGGAUAAUCGUUGAAGUAAUUCGAGGGAAAUAAAAGAAACUACAAUACAGAGUUGUGAGCCUUGAGUGAGGUCUGACAAACAGGCGAGUCACGGAAAAUUUUCAAGUGUACAGCAUCGCAGUACUUGGAAUACCGAAACCUCAGCACGUACGCUGGAAGAUCUUGAAUUUAGAUUGACUGACAGGCAAUACUGAGCAACCUAUGUUACGUCGUACUCGUACAGCAUCAUCAAACGAUGAAUUAUUGGAGAUCUGAAAAUGUCACGUGCAUGUGUAGCCAAGAUUUGGCAGUAUGGAGAACGUCGAUUGCAUUUUUUACUGGAGAAUGAUAAAUUCGCGUCAAGUUCAUCGGCUGGAAGUCUUCAACACGAACGCCUGAUGUCGAGCAGCACAAGAUGAAUGAACACUGCAAAUCACACGGAUUUCAAUGGAAGAAGGUCCUGAAUAAGUGGCACGGAAGACAUAUAACAGUGAUCAAGCGUUUAUCGUUAAACUGAGCAGAUUCAAAAUAUCUGAAAAUGUGCUUAAACGAUUUGCUUGGGAAACCACGUUCAGUUCAAUUUAGUUAACGUUAGUUGGAUCGUGGAGGUGAAAAUUUAUGUGCGUGAUAUUGAUAGGUGUUAAUUAGUUGAUUAGUUAGUACGUUACCCUAUAAUCUGCAUAGUAUCAUCAAUCAUGUAUUUCUAAUUACAUAUUUUGUACUGAUAUGAAUAUGGGAAAUGAUGCCAAAACUGUGUUGUAUGAAUGCUCUCUGAUUAAUUAUUGAUACGAAGGUCGCGACGAGUCUGGAAACGCGUCUCAAACUGAUUCUAGGACCAUUGGUUCUUCGCCGCAAAAGACACGGAAUGAAUCGAACACCUGUAAGAUUUUUACGGACAAAGUUUAGCUACUUAUUUUUUUCGAUAGAGAACCGUUGCGUAGUCUGAGCUCGCCGCGAACGGCGUAUUACAAUAUGUCGUGAUUUUUGCCCAAAAUUUUGACGAUUUUUGAUAACGCUGGAAACAAUUCUUUCAUGCACUUUCAUACACACGUAAUUUUGAGAUAAAAAUCGAUUGCGCGCAGUCCGAACACGCCGCGCGCAAUGGGUCAAGAGAUUCAGCCGACAAACAAGAAAAUCUUGCGGUAUUAUCAGUUGUUGGUCCUUUGCGAUUGUAUAUACCCAUUCUUCAUUUUGGAGGGUCCGAUAAGAGUACAAACUUCGCAAAGACAGCAAGUUUUACCUAACAAAGAACGGUUCAGAAGUACCAUUCAAAAUACAAAGAAAAUUUUGGCUGGGUCUCGACAAGGUGAUAGAGAAAAGUCAUAAAUUCAUAGCUCAAAGUUUCGAUUUAUUCAGUAUGACUUAAUUCUAGUACAAGUGUUCCUGUGUCAGUGUGUAGUUAUUUAACACGUUAACAGAUAGAGCUAGAGUAAAAGACUAAGGAAAAGCUAUAAUAUCAUUGAAUAUAUGAUAAGUAAUCUAAUUAUUGGAUGAGAAAAUAUGUGUGCAAUAUACACUGUCAUGGGCAGACCAUGAAAAAUAUUAUAUCGGAUGAUUAUAAUCAUAGUUUGAGUACACAGCUCAAAUUUCGGCAGAGGUACGCUAGCGAGGAAUGUCUGCACGAACGAUGAAUGUUGUAUAAUAUUGUAUGG